CCUACGGGAGGCAGCAGUGGGGAAUAUUGGACAAUGGGGGGAACCCUGAUCCAGCCAUGCCGCGUGUGUGAAGAAGGCCCUCGGGUUGUAAAGCACUUUCAGUGAGGAAGAACGCCUGGUGGUUAAUACCCAUCAGGAAAGACAUCACUCACAGAAGAAGCACCGGCUAACUCCGUGCCAGCAGCCGCGGUAAUACGGAGGGUGCGAGCGUUAAUCGGAAUUACUGGGCGUAAAGCGCGCGUAGGUGGCUUGAUAAGCCGGUUGUGAAAGCCCCGGGCUCAACCUGGGAACGGCAUCCGGAACUGUCACGCUAGAGUGCAGGAGAGGAAGGUAGAAUUCCCGGUGUAGCGGUGAAAUGCGUAGAGAUCGGGAGGAAUACCAGUGGCGAAGGCGGCCUUCUGGACUGACACUGACACUGAGGUGCGAAAGCGUGGGUAGCAAACAGGAUUAGAUACCCCAGUAGUC
rnacentral:rRNA from 1 species